rnacentral:lncRNA from 1 species
GCCAGAGCGAAAUACGUUCAAAUAAAUUCCUUUAUUAUCAAAUGUUCAUUACAAAACUGCGAAAUACAAGAUGUUAAAUGCUCUAUAAACUACGAUUAAGAGCAACCUACGAUUAAAAGCAAACUAAUCUCCCGGUCGAUCGCCGAGUAAGAGGGUAUACUGGCUUUGAUCGCCGUCCUGAUCGCAUUGUUGCAAAGGCAAGUAGAGAGGUCGAGAAGCACUCUCAGCAAGCAAAAAGGAAGAUGAAGAGCCCUCACAUCGCCUUCUUAAAUGCAUCGCUGCAACGACAGGCAAGGAGGCUGAGAAGCACUCUCAGCAAGCAAGGUGGCCUACAAGCACCCAAAAAAAUUGCUUUCCAUUAUUGAACUCCUUAUAAGAACGGAGACGAUGGGAAAAACUUUGCUGCUGGCCAAAGAAUAUUUCCUAUACCUCCCAUACCAAAGGUGACAUCAAGAAAGAUGGCAAAGUGGGCGGAUCAGAUGAUCCAUUUCCAUGGAAAACGAAAACUUUUGAUUGAUUGUCAAAAAUGCCAAACAAUGGUAGCAAAUUGGUUUUUUAAAGAAGAAAAUGGAAAUGAAGAUGGAAAGUAUGAAGUAUACGUGCAUUUAUAGGAAGGUGAAGGUGAAAAGACAGAAUAUAAUGUGCAUUUAUAGUGGGGUGAAGAUAAAAAGACAGAAUAUGAGCAGUCAUAUUCGUGUCUAGUAAAUGAGAU